AAAGAUUUGAAGGAACGUUAUGACAAAGUCGAUGGAACUAGAGUUUUUUUCCUUCAUCAACAAAUCUCUUCUCAUGUUCAAGGUACUGGUUCUAUUUCAGUAUUCUUUACACGGUUGAAAUUACUUUAGGAUGAGUAUUAUGUGCUUGUAUCAGUUUCUUCAUGUGGUUGUGAGAUGUCUCAAAAAUAUUUGGAGUAUGUUCAACAACAAAAAUUAUUUCAGUUUUUAAUAGGUCUCAAUGAUUCUUACGUUGCCAUUCGUAGUAAAAUCUUGAUUAUGCAACCUCUUCCCUAGGUAAAUCUUGCAUAUUCUAUGUUAGUUCAAGAAGAAUCUCAGCGACUGCAUACUUUCGUUGUUUCUCUUAAUGAUCCUACAACUUUGUAUUUGUCUAAUAUGCAAACUCGAAAGAAAUGGUUCAAUGGGGUUUGUGACUAUUGCAAAGUGAAAGGGCAUAAACGCGAGUCUUGCUACAAGCUAAUUGGCUUUCCUCCAAACUUUAAGUUUACCAAGUGUAAGUCAACUGGUUCCAUUGCUUAUCAAGUUGGGUCAACUAAGUUGCCUUCUGGUUCUUCUUCCACAUCUAUAUCUGCUUCUCUUCAUUCGGCACCAGUAUUAACUUCAGAGCAAUAUCAACAGAUAUUGAAUUUGUUAAAAAUAAGGUAAUAGUUUCGGGUGAAGGAGCAGCACAUAUGGCAGAUAUGGUUACUAAACUAUCUUCCUUCCAGUGGAUUUUAGAUACUAGGGCUACAAAUCAUACGAUAUCUGAUGGCCAAUGCCUGGAGUUUAUUGCUUUAUGUGCUUCAACUUCAUCUUUUGUGCAAUUACCUACUGGAAAAUCGGUUCCAAUUUCUCAUACUGGUUCAUACACUCUGUUUCCUCUUGCUAAACUUACCAAUGUUUUUCAUGCACCAAAUUUUAAUUUCAAUUUGCUUUAUAUUUCCAAAUUAACACGUGAUUUACAUUGCUUUGUUUCUUUGUACCCUCAAUUUUGUUUACUCUAGGACCUGUGCAGUGGAUAGGUGAAGGCGAUUGGUAAGAACAACAUGGUCUCUAGAUCCUUGUGUCACCAUCCUCUCCUCAUCAAUCAACUUGUUUUACUCCACCAUUUAUUGCUUCUCUAGCUACACAAGAUUCGUCAUUCCUUUGGCAUGCUCGUCUUGGGCAUGUUUCUCUUUCUAAACUCAAUAAAUUAGAUUGUUUACCAUGUAAAAAUUUGAAUACUACUAUUUCUCAUUGUCAUGUAUGUCCUUUGGCUAAACGAACAAGACUUCUGUUUUCUGCUAGUCAUUGAAGGAGCUAAUGCACCCUUCGAUUUAAUAUAUCUUGAUUUAUGGGUCUAUAUAAAAUUCCAACACAUUUAGG
rnacentral:lncRNA from 1 species